rnacentral:tRNA from 7 species
GCCGGAAUAGCUCAGUCGGUAGAGCAGAGGACUGAAAAUCCUCGUGUCACC